rnacentral:antisense_RNA from 1 species
ACAGUCACACACGCUGACCUCUAAGGUGGUCACUUGGUCUUUAUUCUGGUUAUCCAUGAGCUUGAGAUUGAUUUUGUAGUCACCCACCUCUAAGGCCAUCUUCGGCUUCAAAAUGAUAGAUUCUUGGGCUGGAGAAAGUAAUAAAAAGAAAUGAUGAGACCAGGGAGGAAAAUAAAAAGCUCAUUCCAGAAUAAAAUUGCUAGUGAACUAAAGAUACUCGCAAGCUGAGUGAAGAGAGCAGAGCUGCUUGGGUUUUAUUUAGGAGGCACAAAGAUGGGGGCUUCAUUCACAUCCAGCACAUCCACGGUGACAGUGGCUGUGGAGGUGGUGAGAGAGACCUCAAAAGACAGAGUCUCACUCUGUUGCCCAGGCCAGAGUGCAGUGGCGCAAUCUUGGCUCACUACAACCUCUGUCUUCCGGGCUCAAGCGAUUCUCCUGCUUCAGCCUCCCAAGCAGCUGGGAUUACAAGUGUUCACCACCAUGCCUGGUUAAUUUUUGUAUUUUUGGUAGAGACAGGGUUUCACCAUGUUGGCCAGGCUGGUCCCAAACUCCUGACCUCAG